AGUGAACGCUGGCGGUAGGCCUAACACAUGCAAGUAGAACGGCAGCACAGUAAGAGCUUGCUCUUACGGGUGGCGAGUGGCGGACGGGUGAGGAAUACAUCGGAAUCUACUUUUUCGUGGGGGAUAACGUAGGGAAACUUCGCUAAUACCGCAUACGACCUACGGGUGAAAGCAGGGGAUCUUCGGACCUUGCGCGAUUGAAUGAGCCGAUGUCGGAUUAGCUAGUUGGCGGGGUAAAGGCCCACCAAGGCGACGAUCCGUAGCUGGUCUGAGAGGAUGAUCAGCCACACUGGAACUGAGACACGGUCCAGACUCCUACGGGAGGCAGCAGUGGGGAAUAUUGGACAAUGGGCGCAAGCCUGAUCCAGCCAUACCGCGUGGGUGAAGAAGGCCUUCGGGUUGUAAAGCCUUUUUGUUGGGAAAGAAAAGCAGCAGGUUAAUACCCCGCUGUUCUGACGGUACCCAAAGAAUAAGCACCGGCUAACUUCGUG
rnacentral:rRNA from 1 species